UUAAAUAUUGAUCUCCGAAGUCUUGGAGCCUAACUCCUCGGUGAUAUGGCGACAAGACCGGCGGUCCUUCACAGAAGGACCCGAGGGUGAUGCCGGAAACGGCGCCGCCUCCCGCGAUUUGGAAAGGAGAGCAUGCCAUGACGAG
rnacentral:ncRNA from 1 species